rnacentral:rRNA from 1 species
AUGAACCCUAGCAUCCUGGUGCAGCCACCCCUUCCUUCCCCCGUCCAUCCCCACCCCUCCCCCGCGCCGCGAGCCCUUCCCUCCUCUUCGUCGCCACUGCUGUCUCUCCUCUUCCUCCCCGCUCUAGCCCCUCCAGGUCGUCGCUCGCGGUGGUUCCAGAUCCUGCGCUGGUCGUCCCCAUGGGUGAGGAGGGGAGGUUGGGUCUUCAAGGUGGAGGUGGAGGGGAGACCGGCAGCGUGGGGAGGAGCAGUGAGCCAGGAGCCAGGGAGAGGCCAACGUCGGGGACAAGAAGCAGCGGGGCCAGCGGUCCGUCGCGGUGGUUUGGAGGGAGAGGGAGAGGGAGGAGGUCGGCCACGAGAGAAGGAGCAGGCCGGCCCUGCUUCGUCAUGGAGGAUGUCCAGCUGCUCGUCGUCCUCCGCCUCUUCUCCAAGCGUCCAUCCUAUCACAACUCAGCUUCAGAAUUGGGUGCGUAUGAACAAUGCAAUGGAGGUUAUGUUAAUUCCUAGAGUCUUAUAUGUUCUUUUGUCUCCUGGUGAUUACUUCGAAUGGCUAUGUGAGGAACACAGGUUGCAAUUCCAGUUUCAUCAACGGACUCGCUCGCUGCUCUAG